NNNNNNNNNNNNNNNNNNNNNNNNNNNNUGAUGAUAAUGGACUGAACCUCUGAACCUGCAACAAGGAAGAGACACCUGCAAUUGUUAUUCUUGGGCAGCACUGGGAAGCAUCCUUUCAUAAACAAAGCACACGCUGCCUACCAUAAUUCCAGAGGAUUUCUGAAAGGUGUUUUUAUGACUGAAGCAAAUUCUUUCAAGCUGUUUCUGUGGAAGGAGAAUCAUAAGAAGGAGAGAUGGAAAAUGCUUGCUGAACACCCUGUUAACAAAGAGGUCUCUUUGCUGUUGGGAAAGAAAAUGGUACUGUUGGAGCAGAAAAUGGGACCUGAGCAUUGCUAAGGAAAACGCAUAGCUUAUUGCCAUUGUGAGAUGUAUAGAACAAAUGAAAUCCUCAGUGUGUGUGUAUUGUUGACCUGAGCUUGGCCCUGCCAGGGCUUGAUCUGGUGCUGCUUGUAUUCGUGCUAAUUGCUGGGCCCCAAGAUCUGGCUGCUGCCAUGAAGAGAUCCUCACGUCCACCAAGAGAUGCUAGCUAAUUGCAGGAUGCAGUCUUCUCUCUACAAUUCACCCUACUGCUCCUGCUGUAAGCUAACUAGAUUUAUCCUGCACAAUUAAGGAAAGAUGGACCAUGAGCUCGUGGCCAGGAGAAACAGCAAACUCCAAAGAAAAUAGGAAGCAUGUGCGGGCUCCCAGACCUGGAUAUCGACAGCCUUAGAGUUAGUCAGGACACGAGGCUGUUUCUCUCCUUAGAAAAGCUUUCUUUCUGAAGCUUUCUAAAGGAGUUUUGCAUUUCUUUUUGGUUUUUUGUUUGUUUGUUUGUUUGUUUGUUUGUUUGUUUUGUUUUUCGAGACAGGGUUUCUCUGUGUAGCCCUGGCUGACCUGGAACUCACUCUGUAGACCAGGCUGGCCUCGAACUCAGAAAUCUGCCUGCCUCUGCCUCCCGACCAAGUGCUGGGAUUAAAGUCUUGCACUACCACUGCCCAGCUGAGUUUUGCAUUUUUAACCAUCUCCUUGCUGUUAAUUUUUGACCUGCAAUACAUUUGCCAGAGAUAAUAUGUAUGUUUUAGAUGGCCAUAUUGUGUCUGUCUGCUGUACUGUGUUGUGUGUAAUAUAUAAUUACAUAUGUCCUGUAUUAUGAUAUAUAAUUACAUAUGUAAUAAGUAAUAUUUUAGGAACUUCUGUAUGUUCACAAGAAGAAAUUUAAGGCAUAAAGACACUGCUUAGUGUUACCUAAAGGACCCAAUAAAAACCCAGAAACAGGUC
rnacentral:lncRNA from 1 species